rnacentral:rRNA from 1 species
UACGUAGGGUCCGAGCGUUGUCCGGAAUUACUGGGCGUAAAGAGCUCGUAGGUGGUUUGUCGCGUUGUCCGUGAAACCCACAGCUCAACUGUGGGCGUGCGAGCGAUACGGGCAGACUAGAGUACUGCAGGGGAGACUGGAAUUCUUGGUGUAGCAGUGAAAUGACGUAGAUAUCAAGAGGAACACCAGUGGCGAAGGCGAGUCCCUGGACAAUACCUGACACUGAGGCACGAAAGCCGGGGGAGCAAACAGG